rnacentral:rRNA from 1 species
GAUGACAGAGGAGCUCCUCCCUCUCGAUUCAGCGGCGGACGGGUGAGUAACACGUGGGCAACCUGCCCUGUAGAUUGGGAUAACUCCGGGAAACCGGGGCUAAUACCGAAUAAUCCUUCGGACCUCAUGGUCCGAUGUAGAAAGGCGGCUUCGGCUGUCACUACAGGAUGGGCCCGCGGCGCAUUAGCUAGUUGGUGAGAUAACGGCUCACCAAGGCCACGAUGCGUAGCCGACCUGAGAGGGUGAUCGGCCANNNUNUNUACUGAGACACGGUCCAGACUCCUACNGGAGGCAGCAGUAGGGAAUCUUCCACAAUGGACGAAAGUCUGAUGGAGCAACGCCGCGUGAGUGAAGAAGGUUCUCGGAUCGUAAAACUCUGUUGUGAGGGAAGAACAAGUACCGGAGUUA